GGAGGAUCUCUUCUGGAGAUCCCUCCUCUGGAGUUUUGCAAUGAGCCUAGGACAAGGAAGUUACAUGGAGACAGGAGGAACAAAGAGAAACAAGAGAAGUAAUAUUGAACAGCUUUUCCCCCUAUGGGAGAUGCUCCAGUUCACUCAUCUCUGUGGACCUCUGCUGUACCCUCUCGAAGUUCCUGCCUUUCAUGAACUGAGGAGCCCAGAACUGGAUACAGCACUCCAGACACGACCUCACCAGGGCAGAGAAGAGGGGGAGCAUCACUUCCCUUGACCUGCUGGCUACUCUAUUUUUAAUGCACCCCAGGAUACCACUGACCUGCCUGGGCACAGGAGCACACUGCUGCUCACAGCCAACCUCUUGCCCACCAGGACACCCAGAUCCUUCUCUGCAGAGCUCCUCUCCAGCAGGUCAGCCUCUAAUCUGUUCUGAUGCUUGCAGUUAUUCCUCCCCAAGUAUAGGACUCUGCACUUGUCCUUGGGAGUUCCUCUCUGCCCAACUCUCCAUCCACAUUUUUCAGUGUUUAAAGGUUUCCAGGUUUAGUAACAAGUUUAUAAUCUUUUUGGAAAAACAUACCACUUUAGUCCUUUCAUUUUCUUGAUAUUACUGCAUUUUUCUUUUCAGAUCUUCAAUUAUGGACUCUUUCUCACACAGUUUGUCACGUAAAAACCUCAAAAGUUUUCCUGAUGAGCAUUCUAUAUCUUCUCUAUCUAUGUUGUAAUACUUCUAUUAGGAGAUGAGAUUACUUAAUGACAUUCUUGCAUAAAUCACAUAGCCUUUUUUUUUUUUAAUGCUACAAUUUUUUUUUUUUAUUUGAGCACAUCAUAGUACACAUUCCAGAGUUUCUGGUACCAAAAAUAAAAUGUUAUUGUACCUGAUAUUUCAGAUACUUAAUCAAGAAAUGUGUUAUAUCUAAUACCUAAUCUAUAGUAAUAGAGACUUCAAACAUGGCAAAGAAAGGGAAAAAAAAAAAGGAAAAGCAUAUUCUAUAUGUUUAAAAACUUUUAAAGAACAUAUCUAAAACUCUUACAAGAAACAAAAUAAGAAAGUGCAGUAUAAGUACAGUGUAGCAAGAUAAACUAUUGAAAUGUUAACUUCUGGAUUACUGACAUUUAUUUUUGCAUCUUGAUUGUAUCAGUAAGGUGUUUAAAUUGCAGUAAAUGUUUUUAAAAAAGCAUCUGCAAUGAUUGAUUUGCUUCAAUGCAGUAAAAUCAGCCUUUCAGAGAAAAACAGAAUGUGCAGCCCCAUAUUAUACUGAAAUGCCUGCCCAUUGUGAUGCACAACCCGCAGUAACCAUUAGGAAACACUAUGCUCAAAAGUAUGUGUGAGCUCUUCCUUCAUGAGUACCUUGAUUAAGUCAUUUUUCAAGGUUAGGUGAUUUAAAUAUUGCUUAGCUUCUUUAAAAUAUUAAUAGCAGCAAUAUUUGUCUCUAGUGCAAUCCAUUCAUAUUUGACUCCUUAGUGAGCGUUACAGUUUCAUCUCAGAGCUUCCCACCUACUGAAUUACACUCAUCUGGCAUGGGGUGAAUCUCUAUCUGUUUACUGAAGCUGAACUAAAAGAAUCCAAAAGUAAAAAGAUCUUACAAGGGGAAAGUCAAAGGGAACCUAAACCUGCAGUUCCCUACUGAGAACACUUUACUGAAAGCUCCUUGGAAUACAUAUGCAUUUUAUUUUUACUACAGAAGGAUUCAUGAACAGGGGCUGGGAAAGAGAAUUUUCAAACACAGUGACAUUCACGUUUUUCUAUGUGGCUUGUGUGGCAGUGAUCUGAUCAUAUGUACUCAUCUGCAGUUCAGCUAGUAAACUUAUUUUUACAGUGAAAGAAAGACAAAAUUUAAGUUCCAAACUUUCUAAAUUGGAUCAUUCUUAGUAUUUGUGUUACACUCUGAAAUCUGGAACUCCGAAAAUUUAAGGCACGGUUCCUAGAGCACAGUAUAAAGUCAUUAAGGGUGUACGUGAUUGGUCAUCCUCCUCUUGUAGCCUGGGAAUUCAAUUUCCAAAUCUAUUGAGACAUUCAUUUCUGAUUGAACCAAGCAGCAUUAUGUGAUUACUAUGUCUCUGCUUCUGAAGAGAGCCAGUCACAGCCUCUGUCUUAUAAAACAACUUUCAAGUAUGCAAAACUGCACAGCUCAACAUGAGAGGAGGGGGAAAACAGGACUUGUAAAAAAACAAAACAAAACAAAAAAAACCUUAUUUUUGUGCUAUUUUCAUUCUACUUGAUGUGGCUUAUAUGCUUAGUCUUCAUGGAUUAUACAAACACAUCCUUCUCCAGGUAUUGUCAGAACUGACUUAUGACCUAUCACUACUCCAAUCAACAGUCCUUAACCUUGUGAAUGGUUAAAACCUACCUUAAUAUUUCCUCUGAGAACAGCCAGUGCGUCACAUAACUGCUGUUGGUAACUUUGUCGAAUUUGGACUUCUUC